rnacentral:lncRNA from 1 species
GGGCCUCAGCCUCCCUGCCUGGCACCGUGGUCCCUCUUGUCUUUCUUUUGGGUGCUUGCUCCCUGGAGUCUCUGUGCACCAAGUGGGGGCAUUGGCGGAAAUCCGAGCAAAACCCGGCUCCUCCUGUGGGCAGAACGUGGGCCCAGGACAGUGGUCAGUGUAAGGGGCCCAGAGCCUGCUGGACGGCGGGUGCAGUGGGACCUGGGCGUCAGCGACAGGAAGUGGGCACGUGUCACAGGUGACAAGUGGGGGAGCUGCGGUUCAGGCCACCUUAACGCUAGGACCCCUGGCGUCUCCCUCCUGCCUGCAGCGUGGGGGCCGGCCUUGGGGCACAGAGGGGAGGCCGCUACCUGCGACGCCAGCUCCCGCGUCAGCAGCCCCGGCCGCUCCACUUCCGGCCCAGCCCUCUGCUGUGCCCUGGGAGAGCAGCAGAGGACGGGCCUGCACCCGCGUGGGAGACCUGGAUGCGGUUCCAGGCUCUCGGCUUCGGCCAACCCUGGCUGUUGCAGCCAUCUGGGUGGUGAGCCACUGGAUGGAAGGUCUCUCUCUCUCUCUCUCUCUCUCUCUCUCUCGGAUCGAGCUACAGAACGAAGCUGCGGUGGCUGUGUGCCGUCCUGCAAGGGCCCUCAGCCAGACCCCUGGCUGGGGAUGCUGCCAUGGGAGGCGGGCGGAGGUGGCCGUCACUCGCCCCGGAGUUGGGCGGCUCCCGAGGUCCCGAGCCCCCAAGGUCGGCGCGGUGAUCGGCGAGCCCAGAGAGGACAGCCGCUCCUCCCGCCCUGCCCGCCGCCAUCUGCUGCUGGUUAAGGCCGGAGAGCCGGCAUCAGCCCCUCCCUGGCACAGCCGCCUCCCGUGUCCCGCGUCUCCAGCACACACGUGGACGGGGUUCACACGCCAGUCACAGCACCGUCUCCUCACGGGCACACAGGUGCGGGGCCAGCUUGCUUCCUCCCCACCCUCAACACUGAUUUUCCUGGGGCCGGAGCUGUGGCGUAGUGACCUUGGCAUUCCUUACGGAUGCUGGUGCGAGUCCUGGCUGCUCCACUCCAGGGCCAGCUCCCCGCUACUGCGCCUGGGAAAGCAGCAGAGGACGGUCCAAGUGCCUGGGCCCCUGCACCCGCAUGGGAGACCCGGAUGGAGCUCCUGGACCCUGCUUUGGUCCAGCCUUGACGUCGGAGCCCAUCUGGGGAAUGAACCAGCAGAUGGAAGAUCUCUCCCUGUCUUUCCCUCUCUGCCUUUCAAACAAACAAAUAAAUCUUUUUAAAAAUAAAGUAUAAAAUAAAACCA